AAACUACCACAACAAGAGGACAUAGUCUUAAAUUAGAGGGACAAAGGUUUAAAAAUAAUAUCAGGAAGUAUUACUUUACUGAGAGGGGAGUGGAUGCAUGGAAUAGCCUUCCAGCUGAAGUGGUAGAGGUUAACACAGUAAAGGAGUUUAAGCAUGCGUGGGAUAGGCAUAAGGCUAUCCUAACUAUAAGAUAAGGCUAGG